AGCACACAGAUUCGUAGUAACUUGUCUAGUCUAACUAAGACACUUUAAUUGAAAUGGAGGGAGUAUUAGUUAUAUAUAUUCAAUUUAUUUUUGUUUGGUAUAAUGGUUGAUUUGAGAUUAAAUGGAGUAGUGAGGAUUCAUAUAAGUGGCCGCAACUUGUUUGGGACUGAGGCAUAAUCAUUGUUUGAAUGAUAAAGAGAUGAAAUACUAGUUUACAUCCUCUGAGCUGAUGCUUAAAUCUGGUAUUGUGGAGACUUUAGGUUUAGAAUGUAUUUAGUUCUAAGUGUUAUCUUGUGCUUUAAAAAUUCUAGUGGCUGUUCCAUUACCCUGAUUCAUUUGGAAAGACGUAGGUCCUUUCUAAAUAUACAUGUAUGUGUUAUAUUUGGAAAGACGCAUGUAUUUGUUAUAUGCAUGUAUGUGUUAUGUGGUUCAGCACUUUUGAUCUCCUCACCUGCUACAUAUAGUUAUAAAGAAACCUGAAUAGGCAAUUUUGGUCCUAGCUGGUGCAUGAUAAAUCUUAGGUGUUUGCUUUCCAGCAAGAGUUAGGUUACUAUAUGUGUAUCUUGUUUUCUCCAAAUAUAUGAUUUUGCCCUACUCUUAUAAUUUUACAAUAUGCCAUGUCGGCCAUUGGAUCACAUGAUGUUAACUCAAUCUCUCUUCAUCUAGUUCAGUGGCUCCGGAGAGUGUAAGAAUGUCUAAGAGCUUUAAGGUAGCAAAUCUGGCUGUUGUGCGGUGCAUUUGCUUGUUACAUAAUGCAGGAAUUUUGAAAAGCAAUUAAAAGUUCUAACUAAUAUAUGUGAUAGGAUAGUCCUUUUAGCUUCUAAGGUAUUAGGCAUGACAUGCUGUCCAAGAUGUACAUCUCUUGGAGAGAAUGUCUUUUCCUAAUAAUCUGUAAUAUUCCUUUCCUCUUCAGUGAAUUUAUUUUCUAUCUGAGAAAGACAGUGGAAGAUAUUACGUGACCUCCUGACACAUUAUACUACUUAUUUCUUGAACCGUGUGAGAAUUUACUGAUAAUAUGAGAUUUUAUGAGGCAGAAAUGAGGCUUUGUUAAAUGUUAUAAUACUUAUUUUCCACUAUUGCAGAGACUCCUUCAUAUAUGGAGGUGGGAAUGCCUGCUUUGUCCCCUACAAUGACUCAAGGUAAUAUAGCAAAGUGGAGAAAGAAAGAGGGGGACAAGAUUGAAGUGGGGGACAUACUAUGUGAGAUAGAACUGAUAAAGCAACGCUCGAGUUUGAAAGUCUUGAGGAAGGUUACCUUGCAAAGAUAUUGGCCCCUGAAGGAACAAAAGAUGUACCAGUGGGACAGACUAUAGCAAUUACGGUAAUAAGA